rnacentral:piRNA from 1 species
UGCAGAUGGGCUGACUGGGCAGUGGAAGU